UCGGAUUAGCUAGUUGGUGGGGUAAAGGCCUACCAAGGCGACGAUCUGUAGCGGGUCUGAGAGGAUGAUCCGCCACACUGGGACUGAGACACGGCCCAGACUCCUACGGGAGGCAGCAGUGGGGAAUAUUGGACAAUGGGCGGAAGCCUGAUCCAGCCAUGCCGCGUGUGUGAAGAAGGCCUUUUGGUUGUAAAGCACUUAAGCGAGGAGGAGGCUCCUUUAGUUAAUACCUAAAGUGAGAGACGUACUCGCAGA
rnacentral:rRNA from 1 species